UUACUGAGUUUACGCUCUAUAACCCUUUGUGAACAUACGUAUAACUGUUGCUUCGGCGGGUAGGGUCUCCGUGACCCUCCCGGCCUCCCGCCCCCGGGCGGGUCGGCGCCCGCCGGAGGAUAACCAAACUCUGAUUUAACGACGUUUCUUCUGAGUGGUACAAGCAAAUAAUCAAAACUUUUAACAACGGAUCUCUUGGUUCUGGCAUCGAUGAAGAACGCAGCGAAAUGCGAUAAGUAAUGUGAAUUGCAGAAUUCAGUGAAUCAUCGAAUCUUUGAACGCACAUUGCGCCCGCCAGCAUUCUGGCGGGCAUGCCUGUUCGAGCGUCAUUUCAACCCUCAAGCUCUGCUUGGUGUUGGGGCCCUACAGCUGAUGUAGGCCCUCAAAGGUAGUGGCGGACCCUCCCGGAGCCUCCUUUGCGUAGUAACUUUACGUCUCGCACUGGGAUCCGGAGGGACUCUUGCCGUAAAACCCCCAAUUUUCCAAAGGUUGACCUCGGAUCAGGUAGGAAUACCCGCUGAACUUAAGCAUAUCAAUAAGCGGAGGAAAAGAAACCAACAGGGAUUG
rnacentral:rRNA from 1 species